GUGGGGAAUCUUAGACAAUGGGCGCAAGCCUGAUCUAGCCAUGCCGCGUGAGUGAUGAAGGCCCUAGGGUUGUAAAGCUCUUUCAGCUGGGAAGAUAAUGACGGUACCAGCAGAAGAAGCCCCGGCUAACUCCGUGCCAGCAGCCGCGGUAAUACGGAGGGGGCUAGCGUUGUUCGGAAUUACUGGGCGUAAAGCGCGCGUAGGCGGACUGAAAAGUUGGGGGUGAAAUCCCGGGGCUCAACCUCGGAACUGCCUUCAAAACUAUCAGUCUGGAGUUCGAGAGAGGUGAGUGGAAUUCCGAGUGUAGAGGUGAAAUUCGUAGAUAUUCGGACGAACACCAGUGGCGAAGGCGGCUCACUGGCUCGAUACUGACGCUGAGGUGCGAAAGCGUGGGGAGCAAACAGGAUUAGAUACCCGUGUAGUCC
rnacentral:rRNA from 1 species